GCCUGGUUGGCUCAGUCGGAAGAGCAUGUGACUCUUAAUUUCCGGGUCGUGAGUUCGAGCCCCAUACUGGGUG
rnacentral:tRNA from 1 species